GAUGAAGAACGUAGCGAAAUGCGAUACGUAGUGUGAAUUGCAGAAUUCCGUGAAUCAUCGAAUCUUUGAACGCACAUUGCGCCCGGUAGUAUUCUGCCGGGCAUGCCUGUUCGAGCGUCAUUUCAACCAUCAAGCCCCAGCGCUUGUGUUGGGGGCCUGCGGCUGCCGCAGCCCCCUAAAAGCAGUGGCGGGCUCGCUAUCACACCGAGUGCAGUAGUUCAUCUUCUCUCCGGUCUUGUGAGGCGGGUUCCGGCCGUGAAACACCCCACUACAUUCAAGGUUGACCUCGGAUCAGGUAGGAAUACCCGCUGAACUUAAGCAUAUCAAUAAGCGGAGGA
rnacentral:misc_RNA from 1 species